AUUGAACGCUGGCGGCAUGCCUUACACAUGCAAGUCGAACGGCAGCACGGGUGCUUGCACCUGGUGGCGAGUGGCGAACGGGUGAGUAAUAUAUCGGAACGUACCUUAUUGUGGGGGAUAACGCAGCGAAAGCUGUGCUAAUACCGCAUAAUCCCUAAGGGGAAAAGCGGGGGACCGUAAGGCCUCGCGCAAUUAGAGCGGCCGAUACCUGAUUAGCUAGUUGGUGAGGUAAAGGCUCACCAAGGCAACGAUCAGUAGCUGGUCUGAGAGGACGAUCAGCCACACGGGGACUUGGACACGGCCCAGACUCCUACGGGAGGCAGCAGUGGGGAAUUUUGGACAAUGGGGGCAACCCUGAUCCAGCAAUGCCGCGUGAGUGAAGAAGGCCUUCGGGUUGUAAAGCUCUUUUGUCAGGGAAGAAACAGCAGCUCUAACACAGUUUGCGAAUGACGGUACCUGAAGAAUAAGCACCGGCUAACUACGUGCCAGCCGCCGCCGUAA
rnacentral:rRNA from 1 species